GAUGGCAAAUGGAUAAAUCUCACAGAUUCUCUCAUCAGAAAAAGAAUUCUCAGAUAUUUUUCUCUAUCUUCAAGAAGAAAUUAAAUAUUCUUUCACUGAGCAUCCUGUAAAUGGAAAAGGCAACACUUCUAGGAAUUGGAGUUGCAGGAAAUGGGGAAUGGAAUUUAACCUUCAAAGUCUGUAAGUUUCACUGGAUGGCUUUACAGAGGAGGUGAACAAAUCAGUGUGCUAACGUGGGUGAAGUUCAGAAGCAAGAAUAUAAUUGCAAAAUUGCAAAACCAGCAGUAUGAAGUAAGGAAUCACCAGUAGACUGAAGUCUUUCAUCUUUGAUAUUUGAUAUCUGUAAAGGCAUCUUUCACUACAGAGACUGAUGACUGUUACUACAAAUAUCCCACAGAGUAGUCGAUUGUGCCGGAAGGAGAAUAAAAUGACGUGCCAGCAGCUACGCGAGAGAGAUGAUGUGCAUUAUACUGAUUU